GAUGAACGCUGGCGGCGUGCCUAAUACAUGCAAGUCGAGCGAACGGACGAGAAGCUUGCUUCUCUGAUGUUAGCGGCGGACGGGUGAGUAACACGUGGAUAACCUACCUAUAAGACUGGGAUAACUUCGGGGAACCGGAGCUAAUACCGGAUAAUAUUUUGAACCGCAUGGUUCAAAAGUGAAAGACGGUCUUGCUGUCACUUAUAGAUGGAUCCGCGCUGCAUUAGCUAGUUGGUAAGGUAACGGCUUACCAAGGCAACGAUGCAUAGCCGACCUGAGAGGGUGAUCGGCCACACUGGAACUGAGACACGGUCCAGACUCCUACGGGAGGCAGCAGUAGGGAAUCUUCCGCAAUGGGCGAAAGCCUGACGGAGCAACGCCGCGUGAGUGAUGAAGGUCUUCGGAUCGUAAAACUCUGUUAUUAGGGAAGAACAUAUGUGUAAGUAACUGUGCACAUCUUGACGGUACCUAACCAGAAAGCCACGGCUAACUACGUG
rnacentral:rRNA from 1 species